UGGCUCCCGCAUCGAUGAAGAACGCAGCGAAAUGCGUUAAGUAAUGUGAAUUGCAGAAUUCAGUGAAUCAUCGAAUCUUUGAACGCACCUUGCGCCCCUCGGUAUUCCGAGGGGCACGCCUGUUUGAGUGUCACGUGAAACCAUCGCCUCGAGCUCGUCUCUGAGUGCGGACUUGGACCGUGCCGUUGGACCACCUUCGGCUCGUCUUGAAAUGCAUUAGCGGUGCCAAAUGCCCCGGCGCGCCUCGGUGUGAUAGACAUCAUCGCCGCGAAGCGCCUGGUGUGGCUCAGCUCACAGUCGUCCCCCGCGGACAAUUUUUUAACGCUCUGGCCUCAAAUCAGGUGGGACUACCCGCUGA
rnacentral:misc_RNA from 1 species